CUGCGUUGUGUACGAGAGCCAUGGGGGUCUUGCAAUUAACAGGCCAUUCAAACUGAAUGAUACAGUAAAGAGCGUUUUCAGCUGGAUAUGCGUGGAGGUCGAUCCUGAAAUUCUCCCCCCCCCCCCGUUUUCCACUUGGAGUGUCGCACACCCACCAACUGCCCUAACCCCAGUUGCCCGCACAUUUAUGAACUAAAAAACAACUUCAAAGUGAAAGUGGGGGACUUGCCAAAUAUAUUAUACCUGCGUGAAGGGUAUUUUGCCACAGAAGAAACUUUCACUGGAUUUGGGGAUGUUCUCAUGUAACAAGAGAAUAUAAAUUUGUAGCAGUUUUUUUUUUCUUUUCCCCAUCACAUUUGUAUAGAGUACCAUUUUUCAUUAUUGAGCAUUUGAUAUCAUUAUGA